UUCUAUAGGAACUGGACGAUAUAUCCUAUUUGGUCGAAUACCUAGAGACAAACUCCUAUGUUUCUUUCAUUACGGUAUUUCUGGACAAGUUCCUGGAUAACAAGCCUAAAGUUUUCUUAUUGAUGAUGUGAGCGGUUCAAAUUGAUUUGAUCUUUCCCACUCAUUUUGGACGGAACUUGAUGCUCGGCGCUCCCAGCGUCGGCUAGCAUCAAGCCGCCGCCUGCGCGGACGACAACCUCGCCUCGGUUAUGUAGGUUGGUGUUUGGGAACCAUUAAUUAAUCUAGGUCUGAAAUUCAGAUCUGGUGGAAGAAGAAAUUAGCUUUUGUGGCAUUGUCUAAAGACUGGAUUUUUAUUUAUUUUUUCAUCACAAAAAUUGGAGCAAGAUUACUGAAGAGGGGUUAUAUAGUUGUCCAGUAUGCAAUGCUCAUCUUGGUUCUGCUCCACUUCAAAUGCUCAGGAUGGACCAUCGUUGGUAAAGCAUGAUGAACAAUUUCAACAAUGAAGGAAGAAGAGAACAACAUGCAGGAAGUGGACUAAAUGUGGAGAUUACUCUGCAAGGACGAAGAUUGCUACCUAGUUUGCAAAUAAGUCGAUUGAUCGAACUGUGGCUGCAAAUGUUUUCUACCUCGGAAAGGAAAACGGCAAUUGUCGAUCAGUUCGUCCGCACAGGAGUUUGUCCUGCCUCUUACAUAUGCUCGUAAUUAACCUGCUUUUUAAUUUCUCCGUAAAUAAAUUAUGACUAUUAGAAUCUUAAUUCGAUUAUUGUCAAACUAGCCUUUUUCUGCACAAUUAUCGUACUUUUUAAGACCUUAAUUAUUUAAUUAGCAGAUUUGCUACCAAACCUUGGUUUAAUUUCUAUAAUAUACUUUAUUGUGA